rnacentral:rRNA from 1 species
GGUUAAGCGACUAAGCGUACACGGUGGAUGCCCUGGCAGUCAGAGGCGAUGAAGGACGUGCUAAUCUGCGAUAAGCGUCGGUAAGGUGAUAUGAACCGUUAUAACCGGCGAUUUCCGAAUGGGGAAACCCAGUGUGUUUCGACACACUAUCAUUAACUGAAUCCAUAGGUUAAUGAGGCGAACCGGGGGAACUGAAACAUCUAAGUACCCCGAGGAAAAGAAAUCAACCGAGAUUCCCCCAGUAGCGGCGAGCGAACGGGGAGCAGCCCAGAGCCUGAAUCAGUGUGUGUGUUAGUGGAAGCGUCUGGAAAGGCGUGCGAUACAGGGUGACAGCCCCGUACACAAAAAUGCACAUGCUGUGAGCUCGAUGAGUAGGGCGGGACACGUGGUAUCCUGUCUGAAUAUGGGGGGACCAUCCUCCAAGGCUAAAUACUCCUGACUGACCGAUAGUGAACCAGUACCGUGAGGGAAAGGCGAAAAGAACCCCGGCGAGGGGAGUGAAAAAGAACCUGAAACCGUGUACGUACAAGCAGUGGGAGCACGCUUAGGCGUGUGACUGCGUACCUUUUGUAUAAUGGGUCAGCGACUUAUAUUCUGUAGCAAGGUUAACCGAAUAGGGGAGCCGAAGGGAAACCGAGUCUUAACUGGGCGUUAAGUUGCAGGGUAUAGACCCGAAACCCGGUGAUCUAGCCAUGGGCAGGUUGAAGGUUGGGUAACACUAACUGGAGGACCGAACCGACUAAUGUUGAAAAAUUAGCGGAUGACUUGUGGCUGGGGGUGAAAGGCCAAUCAAACCGGGAGAUAGCUGGUUCUCCCCGAAAGCUAUUUAGGUAGCGCCUCGUGAA